GAUGAACGCUGGCGGCGUGCCUAAUACAUGCAAGUCGAGCGAACAGACGAGGAGCUUGCUCCUUCGACGUUAGCGGCGGACGGGUGAGUAACACGUAGGUAACCUACCUAUAAGACUGGGAUAACUUCGGGAAACCGGAGCUAAUACCGGAUAAUAUUUCGAACCGCAUGGUUCCAUAGUGAAAGAUGGUUUUGCUAUCACUUAUAGAUGGACCUGCGCCGUAUUAGCUAGUUGGUAAGGUAACGGCUUACCAAGGCAACGAUACGUAGCCGACCUGAGAGGGUGAUCGGCCACACUGGAACUGAGACACGGUCCAGACUCCUACGGGAGGCAGCAGUAGGGAAUCUUCCGCAAUGGGCGAAAGCCUGACGGAGCAACGCCGCGUGAGUGAUGAAGGUCUUCGGAUCGUAAAACUCUGUUAUUAGGGAAGAACAAACGUGUAAGUAACUGUGCACGUCUUGACGGUACCUAAUCAGAAAGCCACGGCUAACUACGUG
rnacentral:rRNA from 1 species